ACAAAAUGCAUCUGUUCAAACAAGCAAGAUUGAAAUACAAGGUAAUAAUCAAAAUAUUGGAACAGCUUCUAGGCCUACAUGCAAUGAUCAACAAGCACGUAAUAAACGACUAUCUAAUGGAAAGUAUCGCAUUGAGAAGCAAGGAGCAAGAUGGUGCCUCAGAGAAAUCAGUAGUGAUACACUCUAUCCCCAAAAGAAAAUUGUUGCUUCUUCUGUUGAAUUUGAAGGAACUGAUCUUCUGGUCGUAGAUGAUGUUGAUUAUCAAAUUAAGAUAUCGCCCAAAGGCAUACCCAUAUUGGAGAAAUGUUAUGACGAUGACACCUUCGAGUCUGAGGCAGCACAAAAAGCCACACAGGGGCAUAUGGCAAAUCAGAAAGAACAGCAAUUUGCAAAUGCCAGUCAAAAGCAUGCUAAGGAAGAUGUUCAAAGAGAAUCUAGUUUUGACCAGCCUAUUACAAGUGAUGCUAACUUUAAUACAUGUGGUAACCAAUUACAAGCAACAGGAGCACAGACAGACCAAGAACCAGCGAAUACAAAUAAUGGAAAUGCUGUAAAUUCAUCCCAGAAAGAAACAGCUGGUGCUGUGCAUGCUUAUGAUGCAUGCAAAUCUCCACCACCAGCACUGCCACCAAAAGGUAUGU